rnacentral:tRNA from 1 species
AGCCUUGCAAGUGGUUGAUUUACAAGAAUAGGACAUAAGUUUCCUAAACUUUAGAUAGGGGUUCGAUUCCCCUCGGGGCUA